AUUGAACGCUGGCGGCAUGCUUUACACAUGCAAGUCGAACGGUAACAGGCCGCAAGGUGCUGACGAGUGGCGGACGGGUGAGUAAUGCAUCGGAACGUGCCCAGUCGUGGGGGAUAACGCAGCGAAAGCUGCGCUAAUACCGCAUACGAUCUAUGGAUGAAAGCGGGGGACCGUAAGGCCUCGCGCGAUUGGAGCGGCCGAUGUCAGAUUAGGUAGUUGGUGGGGGAAAGGCUCACCAAGCCAACGAUCUGUAGCUGGUCUGAGAGGACGACCAGCCACACUGGGACUGAGACACGGCCCAGACUCCGACAGGAGGCAGCAGUGGGGAAUUUUGGACAAUGGGCGAAAGCCUGAUCCAGCCAUGCCGCGUGCAGGAUGAAGGCCUUCGGGUUGUAAACUGCUUUUGUACGGAACGAAAAGACUCUUUCUAAUAAAGAGGGUCCAUGACGGUACCGUAAGAAUAAGCACCGGCUAACUACGUGCCAGCCGCCGCAGUAAUAC
rnacentral:rRNA from 1 species